AUUGCAGUUCGAAGCCUACACAAGGAUUUGUCAAAAAUCAUCUUUUGCUUCGGGGAAAGUCUCCGGUCCACUAUGGCAACACUUCCGGUGACUCACCGGGAUGGGUGACAACAAGUCAUCUCUGGCGCUGUGUUUCAUGGCCCAUGUCGUGGUUUGCCACCCCUCAGAAUGCACAGGACUUGUCAUUAGUCUUUCAUCCAGCCAGCCGCAAGGCUCAUCUGGACUGUGUGGAGAGAGGUUGGUAUAGGCUACGUCAUUGGGCCAUGAUAGCUCGCCGUCCUCUUCACGAGGAGCUUCUAUUCGACGCUGGGAAUCUCUCCUAAACGAUAGUCAUGCAAUUGCUACCCCAGUAGUAACCCAAUGGAGCUUAUUCUCGACUUGUGAUCUCUUUUUUCCUUUCCGCGCCUGGAGUUGGAUCUUGUGGUCCAGACUCGCUGCACCGUCGCACGUGCCGGGCGCUUUCAGCAGAUUUUUAUCAUGAUGAAAUAUCAAACAAUCAUAGAGUCAAGCUCAGAGGAACUUCACACGCCUGGAAAGAUGGUGUGGUUGAUUUCAGCGACGAGAAUUGUAUAAUGUUCUGAACAAAAAUCUGCGGAAGCCCUGAAAUGAGAACCAAGCGGCGAAAGCCACGAGCUCUCGAUCUUCAUAUCUAUAUACUUACAUUAUACUGAACUAGUUAUUUAUUGACUUAAUUAAUUACCAGUGAGGAUU
rnacentral:misc_RNA from 1 species